rnacentral:rRNA from 1 species
AUUGAACGCUGGCGGCAGGCUUAACACAUGCAAGUCGAGCGGAGAUGAGGUGCUUGCACCUUAUCUUAGCGGCGGACGGGUGAGUAAUGCUUAGGAAUCUGCCUAUUAGUGGGGGACAACAUUCCGAAAGGAAUGCUAAUACCGCAUACGUCCUACGGGAGAAAGCAGGGGAUCUUCGGACCUUGCGCUAAUAGAUGAGCCUAAGUCGGAUUAGCUAGUUGGUGGGGUAAAGGCCUACCAAGGCGACGAUCUGUAGCGGGUCUGAGAGGAUGAUCCGCCACACUGGGACUGAGACACGGCCCAGACUCCUACGGGAGGCAGCAGUGGGGAAUAUUGGACAAUGGGGGGAACCCUGAUCCAGCCAUGCCGCGUGUGUGAAGAAGGCCUUAUGGUUGUAAAGCACUUUAAGCGAGGAGGAGGCUACUGAGACUAAUACUCUUGGAUAGAGGACGUUACUCACAGAAUAAGCACCGGCUAACUCUGUGCCAGCAGCCGCCGUAACAC